AGAGUUUGAUCAUGGCUCAGAACGAACGCUGGCGGCACGCUUAAUACAUGCAAGUCGAACGAGAAAGUCAUUUCGGUGGCGAGUACAGUGGCGCACGGGUGAGUAACACGUGGGUGACCUACCUUAUAGUGUGGGAUAACAAGGAGAAGUUCUUGCUAAUACCGCAUAAGCUGGAUAAAUUUGGAAGUAAUCCAGGAAAGAUUGCCUAGUCUAUGCAAUCGCUAUGAGUGGGGCCUGCGCACCAUUAGCUAGUUGGUAGGGUAACGGCUUACCAAAGCGAUGAUGGUUAACCGGUCUGAGAGGAUGAUCGGUCACACUGGAACUGAGACACGGUCCAGACUCCUACGGGAGGCAGCAGUAGGGAAUAUUGCGCGAUGGGCGAAAGCCUGACGCAGCGAUGCCGCGUGAGUGAGGAAGGCCUUCGGGUUGUAAAGCUCUGUUCUAGGGGAAAAACGGCAUAAGUGUUAAUAGCACUUGUGAUUGAUGGUACCCUAGGAGAAAGCACCGGCUAACUUCGUGCCGGCAGCCGCGGUAAUACGAAGGGUGCAAGCGUUGUUCGGAUUUAUUGGGCGUAAAGGGCGUGUAGGCGGAAAGAUAAGUCAGAUGUGAAAUUUCGGAGCUCAACUCCGACCCUGCGUCUGAAACUGUCUAUCUUGAAUCCCGGAGAGGAAAGGGGAAUUUCGCAUGUAGGAGUAAAAUCCGUAGAGAUGCGAAGGAACACCAGAGGCGAAGGCGCCUUUCUGGCCGGGUAUUGACGCUGAGGCGCGAAAGCGUGGGGAGCAAACAGGAUUAGAUACCCUGGUAGUCCACGCCGUAAACGAUGAGCACUAGUUAUAGGGCAGAUUACUGUUCUGUGACGUAGCUAACGCAUUAAGUGCUCCGCCUGGGGAGUACGGUCGCAAGAUUAAAACUCAAAGGAAUUGACGGGGGCCCGCACAAGCGGUGGAUCAUGUGGUUCAAUUCGAAGAUACGCGAAGAACCUUACCUGGGUUUGAAAUCCCGAGAAGACCUUAGAGAUGAGGUUGUGCCCUUCGGGGAACUCGGAGACAGGUGCUGCAUGGCCGUCGUCAGCUCGUGUUGUGAAAUGUUGGGUUAAGUCUCGCAACGAGCGUAACCCUUGUCUUUAGUUGCCAGCAUUAAGUUGGGCACUCUAAAGAGACCGCCGGGGUUAACCCGGAGGAAGGUAGGGAUGACGUCAGGUCCUCAUGGCCCUUAUACCCAGGGCUACACACGUGAUACAAUGGACAAUACAGAGGGAAGCGAAGCUGCAAAGCGGAGCAAAUCUCAAAAAGUUGUUCUCAGUCCGGAUUGGAGUCUGCAACUCGACUCCAUGAAGCUGGAAUCGCUAGUAAUCGUGGAUCAGCAUGCCACGGUGAAUACGUUCCCGGGCCUUGUACACACCGCCCGUCACACCAUGGGAGUUGACCCAACCUGAAGUCGUGGCCCUAACCAUUUCGGUGGAAGGGAGCGCCCACGGUGGGGUUGAUGACUGGGGUGAAGUCGUAACAAGGUA
rnacentral:rRNA from 1 species